UAAAUCAAAAAAUUCACCGAC
rnacentral:piRNA from 1 species